rnacentral:rRNA from 1 species
AUAUUGGUCAAUGGGCGGAAGCCUGAACCAGCCAAGUCGCGUGAGGGAAGACGGCCCUAAGGGUUGUAAACCUCUUUUGCCGGGGAGCAAAAGCGCCGUGCGCGGUGCUAUGAGAGUACCCGGAGAAAAAGCAUCGGCUAACUCCGUGCCAGCAGCCGCGGUAAUACGGAGGAUGCGAGCGUUAUCCGGAUUUAUUGGGUUUAAAGGGUGCGUAGGCGGACAGUUAAGUCAGCGGUCAAAACGGGCGGCUCAACCGCCUGCCGCCGUUGAAACUGGCAGUCUAGAGUGGGCGAGAAGUACGCGGAAUGCGCGGUGUAGCGGUGAAAUGCAUAGAUAUUGCGCAGAACUCCGAUUGCGAAGGCAGCGUACCGGCGCCCGACUGACGCUGAGGCACGAAAGCGUGGGGAUCGAACAGGAUUAGAUACCCUGGUAGUCCACGCAGUAAACGAUGGACACUAUCUGUUCGGGUCGAGAGAGAUCUGAGUGGCACAGCGAAAGCGUUAAGUGUCCCACCUGGGGAGUACGCCGGCAACGGUGAAACUCAAAGGAAUUGACGGGGGCCCGCACAAGCGGAGGAACAUGUGGUUUAAUUCGAUGAUACGCGAGGAACCUUACCCGGGCUCAAACGCACGACGGCGGCACGUGAAAGCGUGCUUACCUACGGGACGUUGUGCGAGGUGCUGCAUGGUUGUCGUCAGCUCGUGCCGUGAGGUGUCGGCUUAAGUGCCAUAACGAGCGCAACCCCCAUCCGCAGUUGCCAGCAGGUAAAGCUGGGGACUCUGCGGAGACUGCCGGCGCAAGC